rnacentral:misc_RNA from 1 species
GGAACUUGAACAAUUGCUUGUGGCGGAGAGAAUUUGUCGCCAUUUUUGCUUACUGUUGUUCAGAUAGCAGUUACAAGUGGAGUGACUUCAAUGAGCCCCAGUUCUGUGAAUCUCACGUUUGUAUGCUUUUGUUGUCUCACUGAUUGAUUAUUUUUUAUGUUUUUGAGGCAGGAGCUUAAUUAUUGUAGACUUGCAUAGGUCAUGUGAUGGGCACUUAUCAAUUCUUUUUAUAAUUGAGUUUCCAACUAGUUAGGCUUUUAGUAUACAUGUUUUUCAUUAUCAAGUGCAUCGCAUAUUCAAUAAAGGUUGCACUUCAUGUUUCUUAUGUGCCUAUGCAUCUACAAGUCGUAUGCAUUGCUGGGGAACUUGUCAAAUUCAUCUUGUAGUUAUUUUUAAUAUAUUGUGCAGCCAAGAUCUCCUAUAUCAGUUAUGGAAAUUAUUUUUGAUGUAGACAAAACCAAUCAUGAAAAGAAUUUGAGACUUCUUUUAAAUUUUGUCAAUUUGCAUUUGCAUACAUUAUUUUUGAAUCUAAUUGUAUCUCUUCAGAUGCUGCAAACUGGUAAUUGAUGGCUUGUUUCUCUAUGUUGGAGAUAGAAAGACGAUGAAUUGCAGCUAAUUAUGGACAUCAGUAAUGCUUUUUCUGUAUCUCUAGUAGCCUGGUGUUUGAUAAAGGAAAUUACGUAUUCCAAGAGCUCUGCAUCACAUGGCAAUUUGUUAAGGUACUUCAAAGGGAGUAAAAAUCGUUUCCGAUCGGCAGUGUAAACAACAAAGUGGCCCUUCUCAGCUAUUUCCAGUGUGCUGUAACUGCUCAUGGGUUGUGACUGUGUGAUUCUUUUUAGCUUUAAAGCAGCUAGCUUCUUCCAUUUUUGUGCCAAGUUGAGAAGUCUCGUGGUGCUGAUCACCCUGCUACUAAAGGGAAGAAUCCAGAGGGAAAUUGUAAAGUAGGAAAGGUUGAAGAACUUCAGAAUUCAAUGUUGCAAAUUUUUUAUCUUUUGAUGGGUUGAGGGCAAAGGAAAUGACUUGAAUAUAUAUACACAGACCAAAGUAACAUUCAUGGAGGACCAAAACCAUGUGAUUAGUGGAUAUGAGGGUUUGUUUGGUCGGCGGGCAUGUCAGGUCACUCUGAUGGAGGUCCAAAACCAAGUGAUUAGGGGAUAUGGCUUGUUUGGGAUAUGUCUCUGUCGGCUUAUGUUCAAAAAUUAACCUAUCAAGUUCAGAUGAAUUUGAAUCUACUUUCGGAGGAAUUGGUGUUAGCUUGUAGAGUUGUGCAAGUUCGGUUUUGUAGUCAAGACAUAUAUGGUGAAGGAGAAGACCAUGCAAAUUGGACCCAUUCUGUCCAAGAACAGCCAACAACACAUAAGGAAACGUUUCCAGCUACAUGUCUGUUUCUAUUAUUAAGGUCUCCCGCAGGUCUCCUUUUUAGACCAUAUAUUUCAGCAUUUAAAAUUAGAACAAUUGUAAUCAAACUUUAAAAUUUAUAUUAGCAAAAUGUCAUCACAACAAAAUGCAUAUA